rnacentral:rRNA from 1 species
GACGAACGCUGGCGGCGUGCUUAACACAUGCAAGUCGAACGGAAAGGCCCUGCUUGCUGGGUACUCGAGUGGCGAACGGGUGAGUAACACGUGGGUGAUCUGCCCUGCACUUCGGGAUAAGCCUGGGAAACUGGGUCUAAUACCGGAUAGGAGCCAUUUUUAGUGUGAUGGUUGGAAAGUUUUUUCGGUGUAGGAUGAGCUCGCGGCCUAUCAGCUUGUUGGUGGGGUAAUGGGCUACCAAGGCGGCGACGGGUAGCCGGCCUGAGAGGGUGGACGGCCACAUUGGGGCUUAGAUAAGGCCCAGACUCCUACGGGUGGCAGCAGUGGGGAAUAUUGCACAAUGGGCGCAAGCCUGAUGCAGCGACGCCGCGUGGGGGAUGGCGGCCUUCGGGUUGUAAAAUCCUUUCGCUAGGGACGAAGCUUUUUGUGACGGUACCUAGAUAAGAAGCACCGGCUAACUACGUG